ensembl:snRNA U6 U6 spliceosomal RNA
GUGCUCUCUUCAGCAGCAUCAUAUAGACUAAAACUGGAACAAUUCAAAGAAUAGGAUGGCCCCUGUACAAGGUUGACAUGCAAAUUUAUGAAAUGUCCUAUUAAAGA